CUGGUUGAUCCUGCCAGACCCGACUGCUAUCGGAUUGGGACUAAGCCAUGCGAGUCAACUCCGCAAGGGGUGGCGCACGGCUCAGUAACACGUAGUCAACCUACCCUGGGGACGGGGAUAACCUCGGGAAACUGAGGCUAAACCCCGAUGGGCCAUGGCUCCUGGAAUGGGCUAUGGCUGAAAUCUACAUGGCCCCAGGAUGGGACUGCGGCCGAUCAGGUUGUUGGUGGGGUAAUGGCCCACCAAGCCUAUAACCGGUGCGGGCUCUGAGAGGAGGAGCCCGGAGAUGGGCACUGAGACAAGGGCCCAGGUCCUAUGGGGCGCAGCAGGCGCGAAACCUCCGCAAUGGGCGAAAGCCCGACGGGGUCAGUCCGAGUGGUUCCCGCUGAGGGAACCUUUUGCCAGCUGUAAACAGGCUGGCGAAUAAGGGGUGGGCAAGUUUGGUGUCAGCCGCCGCGGUAAUACCAGCACCCCGAGUGGUCGGGACGAUUAUUGGGCCUAAAGCAUCCGUAGCCGGCCCAGUAAGUCCUCCGUUAAAUCCAACGGCUCAACCGUUGGGCUGCGGGGGAUACUGCUGGGCUAGGGGACGGGAGAGGCGAGGGGUAUUCCCGGGGUAGGGGUAAAAUCCACUGAUCCCGGGAGGAUCACCAGUGGCGAAGGCGCCUCGCUAGAACGUGCCCGACGGUGAGGGAUGAAAGCUGGGGGAGCGAACCGGAUUAGAUACCCGGGUAGUCCCAGCCGUAAACGAUGUAGGCUCGGUGUUGGGCUGCCUCAGUGGCAGCCCAGUGCCGCAGGGAAGCCGUUAAGCCUACCGCCUGGGGAGUACGGCCGCAAGGCUGAAACUUAAGGGAAUUGGCGGGGGAGCACCAC
rnacentral:rRNA from 1 species